rnacentral:lncRNA from 1 species
GAAGGAUUGGUCACUAAGGUUGAAUGAUGCACUUUGGGCGUAUCGAACAGCGUACAAGACCCCAAUUGGAAUGAGCCCUUAUCGACUGGUGUUUGGAAAGGCAUGUCAUCUGCCAAUGGAGCUCGAGCACCGUGCAUAUUGGGCCAUAAAGAAGUUCAAUUUUGAUUUCAAAGAAGCUGGUACAGUGAGGAAGCUCCAACUCAAUGAGUUGGAAGAGCUCAAAUGAAUCAUAUGAGAAUGCAAGGAUCUACAAAGAACGAACCAAGCUCUACCAUGACAAAUCAAUUCUUAGGAAGGAGUUUCAACCAGGUAUGAAAGUACUUUUGUAUGACUCACGUUUGCAACUGUUUUCAGGUAAAUUGAAAUCUAGAUGGAUUGGACCAUUCAAAGUGCUUCAAGUAUUUCCCCAUGGAGCUUUGGAGAUAGAAAACAUCAAGAAUGGCACCCGUUUUAAGGUCAAUGGACAGCGUUUGAAGCCUUAUUUGGAGAAUGUUUCACAGGAGCAAGUUUAUGUAGUUAUAGAUUCUCUCGAGUUAUGACAACUUAGACAAACUACCAUGUCUUGCCUAGACAUUAAAUAAAGCGCUUGCUAGGAGGCAACCUAGCUGGGUUUGUGUUCUUUCCUUUUAUUUGUGUUAGUUUUUAGUUUUUAUUUUAUUUCAUUCCAUACACACUGUGCCAAUUUGCAUUGCAUCCAUUCCAUUCUUUUUUUUUUUUUUUUUUAAAGCAUUGAGGACAAUGCUUAGUUUAGCUUUGUGGGUGUGGGACUUUCGUUUGUUUUUAGUUCUGGUUAAAGUUUGCUUUUGCUUACUAAUGUGAAUGUAUAUGAGGGCUAUAGUUUACAAUGAGGACUACUGUGUUGUCAUGAAAAAGUUCGUAUCAUAGUGUUUUCAUUUUUUUUCAAACCUGUUACUCUUGGAAUCAUGGUGGUGAAAGUAUCAUGCUCAAAUUAUGGAAGAAGAAUUGUUGAGACUACCCUAGUGAGUGAUUUUGAGCCUAUUUACUUCUUUGAGAGGGUUUAGAGUGUUUGUACUCCUAUCUUUUUGCUUCAAUUUUAUUUCAAAUGAUCUCAUUAUUUUUGUUUGAUUGAAUGCUAAGAAUUUUUCGCUUUCGCAGAUACCGUGUGUUUGUUAAUACUCAUGAAUGAACUCAUUGAGAUGACGUUAGGCUAUGCAUGUCUUAACCACCAAAAGGCCUAAUUUCUUACCUUUAUGUGUGUGCCAUUACCCCAUUUUGAAGCCAAUCCUUUUUAGCCAUUUUCUUUUCUCACAUUUGUUUCCCCAAAUCCUUUUUAUCUCAAUAUGAGAUAUUUAGCCCAUUACAGCUACCCUAUAGUUUGGGGAAUACCAAAGUGAUGAAGACAAAGAUAAUUCGAGCUCUACAUCAAGAAAGUGGUAUGUACCGAGGUAUGUGUGCUGGAAUUGUAGAAAAAGGAAAGAAAAAAGAAACAAAGUUUUAGAAAAAGAAAAGAAAAGAAAAAGAGUCAAAGAGGAUGUAAUUUCUAAAUCCCUCCAUUAUCGCACGGGUCCUGGAUGCCACGAGCAAACAACAAAGAACAAUUCAAGAGGAAAGCUUGUGCUUUCACAAGGAAGACAAGUAUGUCCCAAGCUUUAGUAUUUCCUAUCCUUUCUUUCAUAGCCCCUGACCUAAGCCUUACAUUACACACCUUAUGAAAGACCUAGCUGAUCUUUGGGGAUGUAUUCAUGGGUGCUGCUAAGUAUGUGUGCUAUCCAUAUUCUUAGUGUUUAAUUCCUUUCAUGAGAUCUGUCCAGAAAUUGUGCUUUUAUUUCAUAUUUCAUAUGUGAGGAUUUUUAUUCCCUUUUACAUAACUUCACUCACAUAUGGUUGAGGAGAGACCACCCUUAGGAUCUGAGUGAAAAUUGGAGUGAUAUCUGUGAGGACUAGAGUUGAGGUGAUUUCUAACUUUGGCAUUUGAGUAUGGUGUCUUUGAAGUCAUGGGACAUGGAGUAAUUAUUAUUUUUACACUAUACUUAUGAUAUGAUUCUUUGAAGUGGCAAACUAGUGGUACGAAUGUAUGACUAAGCUUUCAUUGGUUCUUAUUAGUUUGCUAUAAGUAUGCUUUAACCAAUUUGCUUGCAAGUAUACAGAUGUUUGUGGGAGUUAUCACUGUAAACCCUCAGGAGACACAACUCCUCCUACUAGGGACACCUAGGGGUUUAAAGGCUUGUUGCCCAUGCUCAGUGCAAUCGUUUAACCAGCGAAAGUGGUCUAGUUAGAUUUUAGUUUCAGUUUUGCUCGAGGACUAGCAAAAAUCAGGUUUAGGGGUAUUUGAUAACUCAUAUAUUUAUACAUAUAUAUCAUCCAUUUCUAGUUUAUUUGUGAUGUUUUUGAGUUAAACUUGUUACAUUUUAUCCUAUUUUGUGUUAGUAUGCAGUUGCAUCUACUUUAGGAUCAAGUUGAAGGCAAAAGAAAUGAAAACAUGCCAUUUUUGGAGCUGACCCUUAUUCAAACAUGGAAACAAGUUUCGUGACCUGUUUUGAAGUCCAAAUAAAGAAUCCAAGGCGAACCUGGCUUGGUUGAAGACUAAGAGCAGAAUGGGAAAGCAAUGGGGAUUUCUAGCCUGAUUUGGGGGUGCCAAAUAAGGCGAAAACAUGCAAAAUAAAAGCUGAUUUGUUAGGAUCUCUCUGGAAUAUCUUGCAGCCUCUUUUACCCCAUAAAAACUUGCCUUUUAGCCACUUUUAAAACCCCUAUUUAUUUUGGACGAAUUUCACAACCCUAGGACUGACUUCUUGGUUAUUCUCUCCUUUCAUGCACACUAAAACCCUAGCCGUCCAUAUAUUUCCACCAUCAGGACUCAGCGCAAGAGGUGGUUCUUGAAGAAGUUCAACAUCAAAAUUGGUUCAAGGGUAUUGCCCUGACCAAAUCAUUCGAAGAUGUGUACCAGAGAGUGAGCAGCAAAGCAUACUAACAUUCAGUCAUGCAUUGGCAUGCGGAAGUCAUUUCAGUGCCAAAAAGACAGCUUUAGAGGUUUUACAAUCUGGUAUCUUUUGGCCUACAUUGUUUAAAGAUGCUUUUGAUUUUUUCUCUAAGUUUGAUAGGUGUCAGAAAAUGGGGAGCAUCAAUCGCAGCAACGAAAUGCCAUUAAACAACAUUUUAGUGGUUGAGCUGUUUGAUGUGUGGGGAAUUGACUUCAUGGGACCAUUCCCAUCUUCUUUUGGAUACAUAUACAUACUAGUGGUAGUAGAUUCUGUGUCAAAAUGGGUUGAGGCAACAGCUACACGAACUAAUGAUCACAAAGUUGUCUUGAAUUUUCUCAAAGAUAUGAUUUUCACUGGGUUUGGAACUCCGAGAGCUAUCAUUAGCGAUGGCGGCAGUCACUUCUGCAACAAACCUUUCGAGGCAUUGAUGAAGAAGUACAACAUCACACAUAAAGUGGCAACUCCAUACCAUCCUCAAACUUCUGGACAAGUGGAAAUCAGCAAUAGAGAAAUAAAGAACAUCUUGAUGAAAACCGUCAGCCCUAGAAGGAAGGAUUGGUCACUAAGGUUGAAUGAUGCACUUUGGGCGUAUCAAACAGUGUACAAGACCCAAAUUGGAAUGAGCCCUUAUCGACUGGUGUUUGGAAAGGCAUGUCAUCUGCCAAUGGAGCUCGAGCACCGUGCAUAUUGGGCCAUAAAGAAGUUCAAUUUUGAUCUCAAAGAAGCUGGUACAGUGAGGAAGCUCCAACUCAAUGAGUUGGAAGAGCUCAUAAAUGAAUCAUAUGAGAAUGCAAGGAUCUACAAAGAACGAACCAAGCUCUACCAUGACAAAUCAAUUCUUAGGAAGGAGUUUCAACCAGGUAUGAAAGUACUUUUGUAUGACUCACGUUUGCGACUGUUUCCAGGUAAAUUGAAGUCUAGAUGGGUUGGACCAUUCAAAGUGCUUCAAGUAUUUCCCCAUGGAGCUAUGGAGAUAGAAAACAUCAAGAAUGGCACCCGUUUUAAGGUCAAUGGACAGCGUUUGAAGCCUUAUUUGGAAAAUGUUUCACAGGAGCAGGUUUAUGUAGUUAUAGAUUCUCUCGAGUUUAUGGCAACUUAGGCACACUACCAUGUCUUGCCUAGACAUUAAAUAAAGCGCUUACUAGGAGGCAGCCAAGCUGUGUUUGUGUUAUUUCCUUUUAUUUGUGUUAGUUUUUAGUUUUUAUUUUAUUUCAUUCCAUACACACUGUGCCAAUUUGCAUUGCAUCCAUUCCAUUCAAUUUUUUUUUUUUAAGCAUCGAGGACAAUGCUUAGUUUAGGUUUGGGGGUGUGGGAUUUUCGUUUGUUUUUAGUUCUGGUUAAAGUUUGCUUUUGCUUACUAAUGUGAAUGUAUAUGAGGGCUAUGGUUUACAAUGAGGACUACUGUGUUGUCAUGAAAAAGUUCGUAUCAUAUUGUUUUCAUUUUUUUUCAAACCUGUUACUCUUGGAAUCAUGGUGGUGAAAGUAUCAUGCUCAAAUUAUGGAAGAAGAAUUGUUGAGACUACCCUAGUGAGUGAUUUUGAGCCUAUUUACUUCUUUGAGAGGGUUUAAAGUGUUUGUACUCCUAUCUUUUUGCUUCAAUUUUAUUUCAAAUGAUCUCAUUAUUUUUGUUUGAUUGAAUGCUAAAUUUUUUUCGCUUUCGCAGAUACCAUGUGUUUGGUAACACUCAUGAAUGAACUCAUUGAGAUGAUGUUAGGCUAUGCAUGUCUUAACCACCAAAAGGCCUAAUUUCUUACCUUUAUGUGUGUGCCAUUACCCCAUUUUGAAGCCAAUCCUUUUUAGCCAUUUUCUUUUCUCACAUUUGUUUCCCCAUAUCCUUUUAUCUCAAUAUGAGAUAUUUAGCCCAUUACAGCUAUACCCUAUAGUUUGGGGAAUACCAAAGUGAUGAAGACAAAGAUAAUUCGAGCUCUACAUCAAGAAAGUGGUAUGUACCGAGGUAUGUGUGCUGGAAUUGUAGAAAAAAGAAAGAAAAAAAAGAAACAAAGUUUUAGAAAAAGAAAAGAAAAGAAAAAGAAUCAAAGAGGAUGUAAUUUCUAAAUCCUUCCGUUAUCGCACGGGUCCUGGAUGCCACGAACAAACAACAAAGAACAAUUCAAUAGGAGAGCUUGCUGCUUUCACAAGGAAGACACUUUGGUGUGUCCCAAGCUUUAGUAUUUCCUAUCCUUUCUUUCAUAG